UUCACAACAGGGAAGUAAAGCGUCGCCAAUUGCAAUAAUAUACGUUUCAUAUUUCAUUUUAUGGUCACAAAAACAGUUUAAGAGUGUAUUUAUGUAUCUAUUCUUAAGACGUACAUUGUUUCUGUUCUUACUAAAGAAGGAGAAAAAACAUGGAAAUUAUCAGAUUUGUUUCAGCUUUCUUAUUAGCUUGUGUCUGUACCAGUAUUCGUGCACAAAUAGUCGGUAGUGACUAUGAAAACUGUAUUGUGGUGAGUUCUUUGAUGCAAAACAUAUUUUCACAACGUAACGUACACGUUAAUUUGAUCUCCGGGACGUUGUACGACGUAAAAGGUAAUAUAAGCAGAGCAACUUUAGGGCUCAGCAGUUUCAGAACUAGGAUCCUAAGUCUCGAUCCAGACUAUACAAGGAAGCGAUUGUAUAUUUUUGAUUCAAAUGCAGCCGCCAUUUAUGCUUUAAAUAAUUUUGACUGGGUGAGCAAUUUCACAAAUAUGUCAGUCACAGUGAUUCAUGACGGACUGUCACGUUACUCAGCUCGAAUUGCAGUAGACUGGGUCUCGAACAAUAUAUACUGGACUGAUCCUUUGUUUGGGUGGAUAGUUGUCCAGUCUGGAAGCAAGACCAACACGUACAAGAUUCUGAUACAGGACGCUCUAGAAAAGCCGUAUGCGCUGGCGGUGGACCCUGUUAAUAAAUACCUCUUCUGGAGUGAUGUUGGUUCAACCCAAAAGAUAGAACGGGCGACAUUAUCAGGGGACGACAGACGGACAAUUAUUUCGACUGGACUGGCAUUCCCAACAAGUAUUGAUGUAGACUAUAGUUCGCAGAAGAUAGUUUGGGUGGAUUCAAAUCGAGAUUCGAUAGAAACAGCUAAUUUCGAUGGAACUGGGCGCAUGGUUAUACGCAGAUUGUCACAUCAUGAGUUCUACGAUGUCGCGGUUUUCAGAGAUUUGGUCAGUGUAACAUCCUUGAAGAACGAAACAUUGGUCAUAAUCAACAAAAAUACAGGCGACAUAUUUCAAACACUUAGAACGACAAAUGGCGAUCCAUUUGUGGCAGUGGCUUUGUACAGUGCAGACGUGCAACCAAGUCAAGAGGAUAGCUGCAAAAAUAGAGCGUGUAGUGAUCUAUGUGUGAACGGCAACGAAGGUCCAAAAUGUCUGUGCUCGGAGGGUUACAGGAUAACUCAAGAUGGAUUAACGUGCGUCGAGGAUCUGGGUAAGUUUCACCGAGCACUCAUGUGGUCCAAUAGAAGCGCCAUUUGUAUGACUGAUAUUAGAAGCCUAACAUCGAACGGACACAACGACUCGGCAAGCUGUUUAUUCAGUGAUGGAACAGACAUACAUCACUUUGACAUAGAUAUGAUAAAACGAAAAGUGAUUUUCGCCGACGGCACUGAUAUAUUCAGUGCAAAUAUUGGACAGAAUCCAGUAAAACAGAGAUUGUUGUCAGCCACAGGAGAAAUAACAGGGCUUGCGGUUGACUGGCGAGAUAACAAUGUAUACUGGAGUAUGGGGACAACAAAUGGUGAAAUUAACCUUGUAUCUCAGACCACAUUAAUGGAGUACACCCUGAUCGAUACAGACCUACAAUACCCCAAAUAUCUUAAUAUCAUUCCAUUGAACAAUAUAAUGUUGUGGAUUUCUGGGUCAGCUGGAGCUUACAAAGUUGAGAAAUCAGAGCAAGAUGGAUCAGAUCGAGUAGUUCUUAUCUCUAGUGGAGCUCUUAUAAAUCCAAAAGGACUAACUGUAGAUUUUGCGACUAAUGUCCUUUAUUUCAUCGAUGGCGGAUAUGUAAAAAGUUUUGAUAUGGGCAGCAAAGUUUUGACAACAUUAACAUUAGAAUCGCCUUUAAAUUCACCGAAGAUGGUGCUUACCUUUAAGAAUUAUCUAGUAGUGGCCGACAGCUCUUACCCCUCUGGAGUUAUCAAAACUUAUGAGAAGAAAUCAGAACCUGUUUCAAUAUUCCAGCUCACAGCUAUAAAUGUAGACAGUAUGACGGAUAUGAAUAUUUUAGAUGCUUAUCUACAACCAGAUAGUAGAGGUCCAUGUGAUACUUUGAAUGGUGACUGCGAACAAAUCUGUAUUCCGAUUGGCCGGAAUAGAAUAUGUCAGUGUGAAUAUGGAUUCCAGCUCGACCCAAAAAGGGAAUUAUGCUCGUCAUCUCCAGUUACCGACAACUUCCUUCUGGUUACUGAUUGGACACACAACAAAAUCUACCAGAUUUCAUUGGCUAGCGAUGACGUCAGAGCUGUCGAUACUGAAACAUAUGGCAGUCCUAUUGGUGUGGCUUACACUAACGUGACACAACAAUUGAUGUGGAGCACAAACCAGUACAUUCAUAGACUCAGUUUAAAUGGGACUGGAUACAAAGUUAUUCUGAAUACUGAGCUGCUUGGUUGUCAUGCUGACCGUUUGGUAAUUGAUUUCACAAGCGGUAACAUCUACUACACGGCUAACCGCAUUUCGCUCAAUGGAUUUAUCGGUAUUGGUGUCAUCUCACCCGAUGGUCUUCACAAACGCCUUAUUACUUAUGGUAAUAGGCCAAGAGACAUUGUUCUCGAUCCAAAAGAUGGACUUCUAUUUUGGACAGACCAUGGUCAAGCACCCUCCUUCAUACAGAGAGCCAAUAUGGAUGGUUCGAAUAUCCAGACUGUACGAAACAGUAAUCUUGUUUGGCCAAAUGGACUAGCUAUUGACGCACAAGGAAACUUGCUGUAUGCAACUGAUGGGAGCACAAAUAUCAUAUACCGUUGUACCUAUUCUGGCGUAUGUACAACUUUUUACACGGACAAUGGAGCCCAUCUAAUGGAUAUUGUUUUACUUGGCGAUUAUUUGUAUUACACCGCAUGGAAUAGACCGUACGUUGCUAGACUAAACAGAACCAGUCCAGGUAUGGUGUCUAGGGUAGGAUAUAAACCGGAACUAGGACGGCUUGAUUCGUUAUCAGCAUAUAGUUUAUACGAAACUUCAUUGUCUGUUUCAGAUGCGUGUUUACCAAACAAUGGGCGUGGUCCAUGCAGUACUUUCUGUCUUCCGACACCCUCAGGUUACACAUGCGCGUGUGAAGACGGCAUUAACCUCCUAAAUGAUGGGAAAACAUGCAGAAAUGCUAAAACAACGCCGAUGCCAACGACAAAAACUCAGACGACGACGACGGCGAAGAAAACCACAACGACACACUCGACGACGACGAUAUCAACCACCUUCUCCGCUACAAAUCCGUCGACACCGCCAAUACCUAUACAGACAUCAACAGAAAGGAAAGAAAACGAGGCACUGAAAGAGUCUGACGUUCCGGUGGCAGCUAUCGGAGGUAUUGCUGCAGGAUUUGUUGUGCUAGUUGUGAUUAUAGUAGUUCUCGUCCUUGUGUUACUGAAAAGGAGAAACAAGACCUUGAGGGAGAACAACAGCAAUCAUCUGGUACAACAGCCGGAAACAACUACCCUCGCCGAUUUACCAUUCACAACCAACGCGUCGGGUAGGCCGGAUUCAACAUAUGACCUGAUUCGGUUCGAUGACCUUGAAAUACAAACGGAAACUACGACAGAAGAAAUAGACAACAAAGAGAAUGACUACAAGACCAUAGAUUUAGAUAAAAAUAGCUACGAAAAGCUUGGCGCAAUACACAGCUGUUCGUCUGUUAGGCGCUCCGCAGUGCCAAAUGACUAUCAGACGAUUGGCCGUAUGUCAGGGGACAGACAUUCGCAAGAGGAAAAUGGAUACAUGACACCGGUAGAUAGAGGACAAGCGGUUUCAGGUCAGACAGAGGUGACCAAUCCGUUCUACGAUGAUUUUGUAUUUGGUAAAAACUAAAAAGAAAGAAGAAAUGAACUCAUUUGAAUCCAGAUUAAUUAAUGUGAUCAUCAUAUCAAUAAGACUUCUCAAAACUUAAUUAUACUUCAUGAGAAAAGAAAACGUAAGCUGUUUUACUUGUAUGUGUGCGUGCAAAACUACACAGGAAGAUAAAACAAUAUAAGCAUUCAUAUAGAAUAUCGCGUUUCUGUGACAUGAAUAUGCAUUGACGUCACAGCUGGAGGUCAGCUUUCACUAAAUUUCGAUGUGGUGUUGUGCCGCUUAGGAUUGAAACUGGAAGAUAUAUAAAUCUAGGAGUAGAGAAAACCGCACUUGUCCAUUUUGUGAUGUACAUGUAGUUGAGGAUGAAAAUCGUGCAAUUCUAAACUGUUCCCAGAAUGAUGAUAUUAUGUUUCCCUUAUUAGAAAAAGCCUCUGUUGUUUGUGUUACCUAUAGAUUGCUAUCCAAGACAAACCAGUUUAUAACACUGUUUACUUAUCCGACAUUGAUACGUUUAUGUGCCAAAACCUUUUUUAAUAUAUUACAGCAACACAAUAUGUAUCUUUGUAAGUAGUGUUCGUAAUGUACAUGAGCGUCUUUGUAAAAUUAUUUUUGUUCUGUAAAUGUUGCAGUUGGUUACAAUUCGACAUUAUCAAAGCGGGUGUUGAUUUCUUAAUGUAAAUUGUUUAAAAGGCACUGUAUGCAUGGUUUGAAUUGUAGCAAUAGUUUAGCAACAUUUACAGAGCUUAAGUAUCUUACUGGGAGUGUUUUGAUACCUACAUAUGAAUAAUGACUUUGAGUCUCUUACAAUUCUUUUAUUAGAAUGGCUAUGUGCAUUAGAUUGUCAAGUAUCAUGAAUGUAACAUAUCUAUGUACAUAGAUGUGACUUAACAAAGAUUAAAUGUAGACUACUUAUAUUGUUCCCGCUAUUUAUAUCUAGAGUUUAUUUGUUCUUGCUAUAUAUGUCUACAGUAUAUUUGUUCUCGCUAUUUAUAUCCAUAGUUAAUUUGGUCUUACUAUUUAUAUCGAGAGUUAAUUUGUUCUUACUCCUUAUAUAUAGAGUUAUUUUCUUCUUACUACUUAUAUAUAGAAUUAUUUUGUUCUUACUACUUAUAUAUAGACUUAUUUUGUUCUUACUACUUAUAUAUAGAAUUGUUUUGUUCUUACUACUUAUAUAUAGAAUUAUUUUGUUCUUACUACUUAUAUAUAGAGUUGU
rnacentral:misc_RNA from 1 species